AGUCUGAGGAUAGACAAGCAAGCACAUGUCCCUCCCCAGUAAGACUCUGCUAUCUUUUGGGGCCUACAAGGUGAGCUGACAGU